UACGGAGGAUGCGAGCGUUAUCCGGAUUUAUUGGGUUUAAAGGGUGCGUAGGCGGACGCUUAAGUCAGCGGUAAAAUUGCGGGGCUCAACCUCGUCGAGCCGUUGAAACUGGCGUUCUUGAGUGGGCGAGAAGUAUGCGGAAUGCGUGGUGUAGCGGUGAAAUGCAUAGAUAUCACGCAGAACUCCGAUUGCGAAGGCAGCAUACCGGCGCCCUACUGACGCUGAGGCACGAAAGCGUGGGUAUCGAACAGG
rnacentral:rRNA from 1 species